GACCGGAUGCGGAUCUCGAAAGCCUGUCCCAGUUCGGACUGGAGUCUGCAACCCGACUCCACGAAGUUGGAUUCGCUAGUAAUCGCGCAUCAGCCAUGGCGCGGUGAAUACGUUCCCGGGCCUUGUACACACCGCCCGUCAAGCCAUGGGAGCCGGGGGCGCCUGAAGUCCGGGACCGCGAGGACCGGCCUAGGGCGAAACUGGUAACUGGGGCUAAGUCGUAACAAGGUAGC
rnacentral:rRNA from 1 species